rnacentral:misc_RNA from 1 species
CUUGGUCAUUUAGAGGAAGUAAAAGUCGUAACAAGGUUUCCGUAGGUGAACCUGCGGAAGGAUCAUUACAGAAAGUAAACGCGGGUCAAACCGUGAACUUUUAAACCUUUGACGAUUGACUCAUGUUGCCUCGGCGGGCUCGCCCGCCAGAGGAUACAUCAAAACUCCUGUUUUAACGGCGUUGUCUGAGCUACAAGCAACGAAUCAAAACUUUCAACAACGGAUCUCUUGGUUCUGGCAUCGAUGAAGAACGCAGCGAAAUGCGAUAAGUAGUGUGAAUUGCAGAAUUCAGUGAAUCAUCGAAUCUUUGAACGCACAUUGCGCCCCUUGGUAUCCCGAGGGGCAUGCCUGUUCGAGCGUCAUUACACCACUCAAGCCUGGCUUGGUGUUGGGCGACGUCCCCUUUGGGGACGCGCCUUGAAAUGCUCGGCGGCGUGGCACCGGCUUUAAGCGUAGCAGAAUCUUUCGCUUCGAAAGUCGGGGCCCCGCCUGCCGGAAGACCUACUCGCAAGGUUGACCUCGGAUCAGGCAGGGAUACCCGCUGAACUUAAGCAUAUC